ACGGACCAAGGAGUCUAACAUGUGCGCGAGUCAUUGGGUCUUGAUUAGGCCCAAAGGCGUAAUGAAAGUGAAGGGCGGUUCGGCCGUCUGCCUUGGGAUCCCGUGGACCACGCGUUCGCGGGCGCACCAAGGGCCCGUCCCGGUCGCCUCGUCGACGGGGCGGAGCAAGAGCGUACACGUUGGGACCCGAAAGAUGGUGAACUAUGCCUGGGCAGGACGAAGCCAGAGGAAACUCUGGUGGAGGUCCGCAGCGAUUCUGACGUGCAAAUCGAUCGUCAGACCUGGGUAGGGGCGAAAGACUAAUCGAACCAUCUAGUAGCUGGUUCCCUCCGAAGUUUCCCUCAGGAUAGCUGGCGCUCGGAGGAUGCAGUCUCAUCCGGUAAAGCGAAUGAUUAGAGGCCUUGGGGUCGAAAAGACCUCAACCUAUUCUCAAACUUUAAAUGGGUGAGAAGUCCGGUUUGCUCGACUGAAGCCCGGACGGCAACUUGGAUGCGAGUGCCAAGUGGGCCACUUUUGGUAAGCAGAACUGGCGCUGUGGGAUGAACCAAACAAAAAGUUAAGGGGCCCGAUGCGAGACGCUCAUGAGAUCCCAUGAAAGGUGUUGGUUGCUAUAGACAGCAGGACGGUGGCCAUGGAAGUCGGAAUCCGCUAAGGAGUGUGUAACAACUCACCUGCCGAAGCAACUAGCCCUGAAAAUGGAUGGCGCUUCAGCGUCUACCCCAUACUUUUUCGUCGCGGCCGAAAAGCCUCGUGUUUUAAGCCGCGAUGAGUAGGAGGGGCGCGGAGGCGAGCGUCGAAGGUGCCGGGCGUAAGCCCGCCUGGAGCCGCCUCCGGCGCAGAUCUUGGUGGUAGUAGCAAAUACUCAAGUGAGAACCUUGAGGACUGAGGUGGAGAAGGGUUCCAUGUGAACAGCAGUUGAACAUGGGUCAGUCGGUCCUAAGGGAUAGGAGAAAUCCGUUCCGAGGCGGGACCUCUACUUACAGCAAGUCCCGCUGAUGACCGAAAGGGAAUCGGGUUAAUAUUCCCGAACCCGGACACGGAGAUCGUCCUCUUCGGAGGUACAUUGCGGUAACGCAAACGAGCUCGGAGACGUCGACGGGAGCACCGGGAAGAGUUAUCUUUUCUUUGUAAGGAUUCGACUCCCUGGAAUCGGCUCGCCCGGAGAUAGGGAUGGUGUUUCCGUAAAGCACCGCGCCUCUUGCGGUGUCCGGAUCGCUCCCGUCGGCCCUUGAAAAUCCGAGUGAGAGAUAGUGAUUUUCGUGCCGGACCGUACCCAUAUCCGCAGCAGG
rnacentral:rRNA from 1 species